rfam:Oryza meridionalis cultivar OR44 (W2112) chromosome 3, whole genome shotgun sequence.
UAUAAGGGAUUUUGAGUUUUUGCUUGUAACGUUUGACCACUCGUCUUAUUCAAUUUUUUUUGAAAUUAUUGUUUAUUUUAUUUGUGACUUACUUUAUUAUCCACAGUACUUUAAGCACAACUUUUCGUUUUUAUAUUUGCAAAAAAAAUUUGAAUAAGACGAGUGAUCAAACGUUGCAAGCAAAAACUCAAAAUCCCNNNNNNN